GUUCAGUGAAGGAACGACAGCUGCUGGCAACAGAACUCCCCAGGUUGACGAUUCAUCUUGAGAAACGCGCCAUGCUGAGCACAUCCAGGCGGCGGCGGUGCACACAGGCUCCACGUGCAAUAGAAACACCAUCAGGAGGUGCUACGGGUGCUGUGCUGCAUUCUGCAACUACAGAAGAACCUGGUUUCUACUGCGUGUUCCACACGUGCCUGUAGAUCCACCAAAAAGGUCAGCUUUUAGGAGAUCUCAAGGCUACCAGAAGUGCCAACGAAAAUCCUAAAAACAGUCUGGUCCUUUGGGAAACAGAAAGCCUCAACUGCCUCACACAACUCACCAGAAAACAAAACGCCUGAAGCUGCUGAGGGUGGAUGAAUCCGAU